UCACCCCGCUCCUCCGCUCUCUCCACUGGCUUCCAGUUGAAGCUCGCAUCCGCUACAAGACCAUGGUGCUUGCCUACGGAGCUGUGAGGGGAACGGCACCUCAGUACCUUCAGGCUCUGAUCAGGCCCUACACCCAAACAAGGGCACUGCGUUCAUCCACCUCUGGCCUGCUCGCCUCCCUACCACUGAGGAAGUACAGUUCCCGCUCAGCCCAGUCAAAACUGUUCGCUGCUCUGGCACCCCAAUGGUGGAACAAACUCCCUCACGACGCCAGGACAGCGGAGUCAAUCACCACCUUCCGGAGACACCUGAAACCCCACCUCUUCAAGGAAUACCUAGGAUAGGAUAAAGCAAUCCUUCUGCCCCCCCCCCCCCUUAAAAGAUUUAGAUGCACUAUUGUAAAGUGGUUGUUCCACUGGAUGUCAUUAGGUGAAUGCACCAAUUUGUAAGUCGCUCUGGAUAAGAGCGUCUGCUAAAUGACUUAAAUGUAAAUGUAAUGUAAUGUAUUUCCUCUCUCCUCUGUAUUUCCUCUCUCCUCUGUAUUUCCUCUCUACUCUGUAUUUCCUCUGUAUUUCCUGUCUCCUCUGUAUUUCCUCUGUAUUUCCUCUCUCCUCUGUAUUUCCUCUCUGCUCUGUAUUUCCUCUCUACUCUGUAUUUCCUCUGUAUUUCCUGUCUCCUCUGUAUUUCCUCUGUAUUUCCUGUCUCCUCUGUAUUUCCUCUGUAUUUCCUGUCUGCUCUGUAUUUCCUCUGUAUUUCCUCUUUCCUCUGUAUUUCAUCUGUAUUUCCUGUCUCCUCUGUAUUUCCUCUGUAUUUCCUCUCUCCUCUUUUUUUCCUCUGUAUUUCCUCUGUAUUUCCUCUUUAUUUCCUCGGUAUUUCCUCUCUACUCUGUAUUUCCUCUGUAUUUCCUCUCUACUCUGUAUUUCCUCUCUACUCUGUAUUUCCUCUGUAUUUCCUCUCUACUCUGUAUUUCCUCUCUGCUCUGUAUUUCCUGUCUACUCUGUAUUUCCUCUCUGCUCUGUAUUUCCUCUCUACUCUGUAUUUCCUCUCUACUCAGUAUUUCCUGUCUGCUCAGUAUUUCCUCUCUGCUCUGUAUUUCGUCUGUAUUUCCUCUGUAUUUCCUCUCUACUCUGUAUUUCCUCUGUAUUUCCUCUCUCCUCUGUAUUUCCUCUUCCCUCUGUAUUUCCUCUGUAUUUCCUCUCUCCUCUGUAUUUCCUCUCUGCUCUGUAUUUCCUCUCUCUGUAUUUCCUCUCUCCUCUGUAUUUCCUCUCUCCUCUGUAUUUCCUCUCUGCUCUGUAUUUCCUCUCUCCUCUGUAUUUCCUCUCUCCUCUGUAUUUCCUCUCUGCUCUGUAUUUCCUGUCUGCUCUGUAUUUCCUCUCUACUCUGUAUUUCCUGUCUCCUCUGUAUUUCCUGUCUCCUCUGUAUUUCCUCUGUAUUUCCUCUCUCCUCUGUAUUUCCUCUCUCCUCUGUAUUUCCUCUCUACUCUGUAUUUCCUCUGUAUUUCCUGUCUCCUCUGUAUUUCCUCUGUAUUUCCUCUCUCCUCUGUAUUUCCUCUCUGCUCUGUAUUUCCUCUCUACUCUGUAUUUCCUCUGUAUUUCCUGUCUCCUCUGUAUUUCCUCUGUAUUUCCUGUCUCCUCUGUAUUUCCUCUGUAUUUCCUGUCUGCUCUGUAUUUCCUCUGUAUUUCCUCUUUCCUCUGUAUUUCAUCUGUAUUUCCUGUCUCCUCUGUAUUUCCUCUGUAUUUCCUCUCUCCUCUUUUUUUCCUCUGUAUUUCCUCUGUAUUUCCUCUUUAUUUCCUUGGUAUUUCCUCUCUACUCUGUAUUUCCUCUGUAUUUCCUCUCUACUCUGUAUUUCCUCUCUACUCUGUAUUUCCUCUGUAUUUCCUCUCUGCUCUGUUUUUCCUCUCUGCUCUGUAUUUCCUGUCCGCUCUGUAUUUCCUCUCUGCUCUGUAUUUCCUGUCCGCUCUGUAUUUCCUCUCUGCUCUGUAUUUCCUGUCCGCUCUGUAUUUCCUCUCUGCUCUGUAUUUCCUCUCUACUCUGUAUUUCAGCAUCCUGUUUCUAUCCAUCCAGUCCCUCUAAGCAAAAGAGCUAUGUAAUCCUGUUCAAUAUACAACAACAGUCAAAAGUUUGGGCACACCUACUCAAGUUUUUAUUUUAUUUUUACUAUUUUCUACAUUGUAGAAUAAUAGCGAACACAUCAAACAUAUGAAAUAACACAUAUGGAAUCAUGUAGUAACCAAAAAACUGUUAAACAAAUCAAAAUAUAUUUUAUAUUUGAGAUUCUUCAAAGUAGCCACCCUUUGCCUUGAUGGCAACUUUGCACACUCUUGGCAUUCUGUCAACCAGCUUCACGAAGUAGUCACCUGGAAUGCAUUUCAAUUAACAGGUGUGCCUUGUUAAAAGUUAAUUUGUGGAAUUUCUUUCCUUAUUUUCCUUUCCUUAAGUGAAUCAGUUGUGUUGUGACAAGGUAAGGGUGGAAUACAGAAGAUAGCACUAUUUGGUAAAAGACAAAGUCCAUAUUGUGGCAAGAACAACUCAAAUAGGCAAAGAGAAACGACAGUCCAUCAUUACUUUAAGACAUGAAGGUCAGUAAAUCCGGAAAAAUUCAAGAACUUUGAAAGUUUCUUCAAGUGCAGUCACAAAAACUAUCAAGCACUAUGAUGAAACUGGCUCUCAUGGGGACCGCCACAGGAAAGGAAGACCCAGAGUUACCUCUGCUGCAGGGGAUAAGUUCAUUAGAGUUACCAGCCUCAGAAAUUGUAACCCAAAUAAAUCAAAUGUAUUUAUAAAGCCAUUCUUAAUUCAGCUGAUAUCUCAAAGUGCUGUACAGAAACCCAGCCUAAAACCCCAAACAGCAAGCAAUGCAAGUGUAGAAGCACGGUGGCUAGGAGAAAAACUCCCUAGAAAGGCAGAAACCUAGGAAGAAACAUAGAGAGGAACCAGACUCUGAGGGGUGGCCAGUCCUCUUCUGGCUGUGCUGGGUGGAGAUUAUAACAGGACAUGGCCAAGAUGUUCAAACGUUCAUAGAUGACCAGCAGGGUCAUCAGCUGAUGUAAGAAGGGCUUUAUAAAUACAUUUGAUUGAGAGAGAGAGAAAGAGAGGGAGAGAAAGAGAGAAUCAGAGGGAGCAUACUUAAAUUCACACAGAACGCCGGAUAAGACAGGAGAAAUACUCCAGAUAUAACAGACUGACCAUAGCCCCCCGACACAUAAACUACUGCAGCAUAAAUACUGGAGGCUGAGACAGGAGGGGUCAGGAGACACUGUGGCCCCAUCCAACAAUACCCCCGGACAGGGCCAAACAGGAAGGAUAUAACCCCACCCACUUUGCCAAAGCACAGCCCCCACACCACUAGAGGGAUAUCUUCAACCACCAACUUACCAUCCUCUGACAAGGCCGAGUAUAGCCCACAAAGAUAUCCCCUACGGCAUGAACCCGAGGGGGGCGUCAACCCGGACAGGAAGAUCAUGUCAGAGACUCAACCCACUCGAUUGAAGCACCCAUCUCCACAUGUGUGGUUCCCAUCGUGAAGCAUGGAGGAGGAGGUGUGAUGGUGUGGGUGUGCUUUGCUGGUGACACUGUCUGUGAUUUAUUUAGAACUCAAGGCAUACUUAACCAGCACGGCAAUCUCAGCAUUCUGCAUCAUCCCAUCCUAUCUGGUUUGCGCUUAGUUGGACUAUCAUUUGUUUUUCAACAGGACAAUGACCCAACAUACCUCCAGGGUGUGUAAGGGCUAUUUGACCAAUAAGGAGAGUGAUGGGGUGCUGCAUCAGAUGACCUGGCCUCCACAGUCACCUGACCUCAACCCAACUGAGAUGGUUUGGGAUGAGUCGGACCACAGAGUGAAGGAAAAGCAGACAACAAGUGCUCAGCAUAUUUGGGAACUCCUUCAAGACUGUUGCAAAUGCAUUCCAGGGGGAGCUGCUGAGCCCGUGUCGCUGCAGUGGGUCGGUCCGCUGUACCCACCAGCCCUGCCUCAUCAAGUGGAUCAGUGAGAGAG